UAAGACGUAGAGACAGAACUUUCACACGUAAACAGAACAGCACCCGUGUUGUGGAGUGGAGACACACUUGGUGAUGGCGGCCCACUUCAUACAGCUGGUGGUAAAGAUGUCGUUUCACCACCAGCAAGUUGAGGAAGAAGGGGGAAGCUAGCUUUAGCACUCAAGCUGCUUUAGCCCAAGUAGCUUACCAAGUGCAACAAUGCUACCCCGGCCUCAACGUCGAGAAAGAACACAUCAGGUUUAUGUGAGAGAGUGGCUACACCAGCCAACUUGUGUUCCACGCCACCAAACUGAAAAUCAGCGCCCAGGAAGUCGGGAGAGAUAGGAGGUAACACAUAACAUUUACCUGCCUCUCAGGCUGCCUGGAUUCGUUCCAUAGUUAAGCAAUGUCAUUGGGGGGAGUCCAACUUCACAGAAAUGGAUUUCCAAAGUCAAUCCAGGGAAAACGAAAUAACCUUCAUCACCCACGAGGCGCAGCUCCUUCCCCUGUUGCGAAAGCCACAAAAGCAACAUUUGGCUCAUCAGAAAUAGAACAUGUCGGCUUCGGAGCAGACUGUCGUCAUCCCACAUCUCACAGUUGUCACAUCGGUGGCAGAAAAAUUCCACGGGUCUUUCACCGGCUGCGGCAUAUGGCAACCUUUUAGAAAUGGAGGAUUCUGGAAUGUUGAUAGGUUAUUUUCAGAAUGUUCCAUCUCUUUGCUCUGGGAGUCAUUGAAAUGGACUUAAUCGCAGCAGUAAAUUAUUUGAGGGGCUGAAUUAUGGUCCCUUGCAAUUGCUCCUAUCCAACAUGAAAGCAAUAUAACCUUAAGUCCAUACUGUACUUCCCGAAUGCAUUAUUUAAAUUCGAUCCAAACCGAUAUUAGUCUUCAUUUGUCUGUGGAAUUGGAAAUUCGAGUAAUUGUGCCCUUUAGUAAUCUCUUGUUGCAAUCUCUUAAGGUGGGUGGGCUUGCAGGAGCACACACACACACACACACACACACACACACACACACACACACACAC